rnacentral:rRNA from 1 species
UGGGGGAUAUCGCACAAUGGGCGAAAGCCUGAUGCAGCGACGCCGCGUGGGGGAUGAAGGCUUUCGGGUUGUAAACCUCUUUCGCUAUCGAACAAGGCCCGCUUAGGGUGGGUUGAGGGUAGGUGGAGAAGAAGCGCCGGCUAACUACGUGCCAGCAGCCGCGGUAAUACGUAGGGCGCGAGCGUUGUCCGGAAUUAUUGGGCGUAAAGGGCUUGUAGGCGGCUUGUUGCGCCUGCUGUGAAAACGCGGGGCUUAACUUCGCGCGUGCAGUGGAUACGGGCAGGCUUGAGUGUGGUAGGGGUGACUGGAAUUCCAGGUGUAGCGGUGGAAUGCGCAGAUAUCUGGAGGAACACCGAUGGCGAAGGCAGGUCACUGGGCCAUUACUGACGCUGAGGAGCGAAAGCAUGGGUAGCGAACAGG